CUUUUAAAUAUGUGGAUUUUACGGUUAUCUUUGGCGCCCCCUAGAACCUAAACCGUGGGGUGCAGCGUCAUGAUUUGAAUAACUUUUAAUGGCCAUGGGGUGUAGAUUGGCCUGAGAAAAUGUGGUGCCGGUGGAACGAAAGCCUUCGGAGGAGUUAGCGAAAUUCCAAUGUGUGCGGAUCGGCAAAAAAUGCGGAAUAACCCUUUAACCGUACAUUUGACAGAUACGUGCGCAUUGACUUUUUUGUAGAUCUUAUUGAGAUACAUGUGUGUCUCAAUUUUGGUGUCAUUUUGCCAAAGCGUACAGGUGUUACACUCAACAAUGUGUAUUUUCACCUUAGGGGACAAGAAAAAAUGGACUUUUUUCUCCUGCCAUGGGGGGCGCUCUUUUGGGGAGUAAAAAUUCCUUCACAAAUGUGUUGAUGGCUGGACAUUGCAUCAUCCUAGAAAACUUGGAGGCCAGUGAGGGCAAAAAUAAAAAGUUAUAAGACUUUUAAAUAUGUGGAUCUUAGGGUUAUCUUUGGCGCCCCCUAGAACCUAAACCGUGGGGUGCAGCGUCAUGAUUUGAAUAACUUUUAAUGGCCAUGGGGUGUAGAUUGGCCUGAGCAAAUGUGGUGCCGGUGGAACGAAAGCCUUCGGAGGAGUUAGCGAAAUUCCAAUGUGUGCGGAUCGGCAAAAAAUGCGAAAUAACCCUUUAAACGUACAUUUGACAGAUACGCCCGCACUGACUUUUUUGUAGAUCUUAUUGAGAUACAUGUGUGUGUCAAUUUUUGUGUCAUUUUGACAAAGCGUACAGGCGUGACAGUGAAUAGUGUGAAUUUUCACCUUAGGGGGCGCUAUGGAGCCAUUUUGCAUUUUCUUGUUUGGGCGACUUCGGAAUAUCAAAUUUUUCACCAGGCCCGGUCGUCCUGCCAAAUUUCAUGAGUUUUCGCCAGUGGGAAGUGGGCCAUUUUCCAGUUCAAAGGGGAGGAAAAAUAAUAACUAGGGCCCCGUUGGGGCACUGGCGGGCCCGAGCCGUGUCGCGCUGCCCCCCCCAACGCGCUGCCUCCCCGUCCCAUUCGCGUCCUCUGGCCAUCGUCCUCUCUGGUAACGCCCAUCACUGCAAAGACCCUUUCCUUCAUCGGCGUUUGCUGUUCUUCCUGCCAGUGCGUGUUGCUUUCACUUACACUUGCCACAGCCAGCCUCGUGAGUGCCUAGCCUAUUGGAUAUCACUGUCAUCUACACAGGACAGUCAUAACCUUUCUAUUAAUACUUUGUUUUUUAAUUUCACAUUAAUUUCCAUAUUGUAUAAAUGACUGGAAAAAACUUGAGCCCCUGCCCCUGUAUAAUCAUGUGCACGUCCCUGUUCUAGCUCCAAGGUGAAUCUUCACUGCUCAUGUUCUCCUCAGAAAUAGUCACCUCACUCCCCUCAGGUUACUGUACACAUGCACCAACUAUCUGCUUCAGGUUUGGAUGGAGCUUCAUGGUUGUCUUUUGGAGAAAUGAACAGUCAAGUUGUGUUUGAAAUUUGAUUUUUUUCAGGGGCAAAAGGAAGCCUCUGCAUUCUUGUCAAAUAUGUAAACAGCAUGUUUUUGCAGGUGCUAAAAAACAGACUCUGAGUGUGUGUGUGUGUGUGUGUGUGUGUGUGUGUGUGUGUGUGUGUGUGUGUGUGUGUGUGUGUGUGUGUGUUGGCGUGUGUGUAUAUGUGUGUGUAUCCUGCAGUACUCUGUACUCCUGCAGUGGCCAAAAAGACUUUUAAGAAUGUGGAUUUUUGGGUCAUCUUUGGCGCCCCCUAGAACUGCAGUACUCUGUACUCCUGCAGUGGCCAAAAUGACUUUUAAGAAUGUGGAUUUUUGGGUCAUCUUUGGCGCCCCCUAGAACGUAAACCGUGGGGUGCAGCGUCAUGAUUUUUACAACUUUGAAUGGGCAUGGGGUGUAGAUUGCCCUGAGCAAAUUUGGUAUCAGUGGGACGAAAGCCUUAGGAGGAGAUAGCCACAUUCCAAUGUGUGCGGAUCGGCAAAAAAUGCGAAAUAGCCCUUUAACCGUACAUUAUACAGAUACGCGCCCUUUGACUUUUUCGUAGAUCUAAUUGAGAUACACAUGAUUGUCAAUUUUUGUGUCAUUAUGACAAAGCGUUCAGGCGUGACACUCAACAAUGUGUAUUUUCAUGUAAGGGGACAAGAAAAAAUUGACUUUUUUCUCCUGCCAUGGGGGGCGCUCUUUUGGGGAGUAAAAAUUCCUUCACAAAUGUGUUGAUGGCUGGACAUUGCAUCAUCCUAGAAAACUUGGAGGGCAGUGAGGACAAAAAUAAAAAGUUAUAAGACUUUUAAGAAUGUGGAUUUUUGGGUUAUCUUUGGCGCCCCCUAGAACCUAAACCGUGGGGUGCAGCGUCAUGAUUUGUACAACUUUUAAUGGCCAUGGGGUGUAGACUGGCCUGAGCAAAUGUGGUGCCGGUGGAACGAAAGCCUUCGGAGGAGUUAGCGAAAUUCCAAUGUGUGCGGAUCGGCAAAAAAUGCGAAAUAACCCUUUAACCGUACAUUUGACAGAUACGCCCGCACUGACUUUUUUGUAGAUCUUAUUGAGAUACAUAUGUGUGUCAAUUUUUGUGUCAAUAUGACAAAACGUACAGACGUGACAGUCAAUAGUGUGAAUUUCCACCUUAGGGGGCGCUAUGGAGCCAUUUUGCAUUUUAUUGUUUGGGCGACUUCAGAAUAUCGAAUUUUUCACCAGGCCCGGUCGUCCUGCCAAAUUUCAUGAGUUUUCGCCAGUGGGAAGUGGGCCAUUUUCCAGUUUAAAGCGGAGGAAAAAUAAUAAUAAUAAUAACAAAAGAAGAAUCCAUCAGGAACAAGAGGGCUCUCGCAGCUGCUUAGCAGCUACGCUCGGGCCCUAAUAAUAAUAAUAACAAAAGAAGGAAACUACAGGAACAAGAGGGCUCUCGCAGCUGCUUAGCAGCUACGCUCGGGCCCUAAAGAAAGAACUAGGGCCCCGGUGGGGCACUGGCGGGCCCGAGCCGUGUCGCGCCGCCCCCAGUGCGACCGCCUACCCCUCCCGAUCGCGUCACACUCAAGGUCCAAAGAUGGUGUGCGCACUUGUCUGUGGUCAUUUACCAUUAUAAUGAAUGGGAGGCGCAGUUUCUACCAAAACGCUCGCUGCAGACAAACUCCAUGUCCUUUUUGAAAAAAGUCUGGACCAUGAGUGAGGGCACAAACACAGCUAGUAUAUAUCCAAAUGGCAAGUUGCUCCUCCUUUCGGUUUUGCCGAGAGAGCGAUGCGUUUGAGCCAUUGAGCGAUGGGCAGGAAAAACUUGACUUUUUCUCCUGCCAUGGGGGGGCGCUCUUUUGGGGAGUAAAAAUUCCUUCACAAAUGUGUUGAUGGCUGGACAUUGCAUCAUCCUAGAAAACUUGGAGGCCAGUGAGGACAAAAAUAAAAAGUUAUAAGACUUUUAAGACUGUGGAUUUUUGGGUUAUCUUUGGCGCCCCCUAGAACCUAAACCGUGGGGUGCAGCGUCAUGAUUUGUACAACUUUGAAUGGCCAUGGGUUGUAGAUUGGCCUGAGCAACUAUGGUGUCAGUGGGACGAAAGCCUUCGGAGGAGUUAGCGAAAUUCCAAUGUGUGCGAAUCGGCAAAAAAUGCAAAAUAGCCCUUUUACCGUACAUUAUACAGAUACGCGCUCUUUGACUUUUUCGUAGAUCUAAUUGAGAUACACAUGAUUGUUAAUUUUUGUGUCAAUAUGACAAAGAGUUCAGGCGUGACACUCAACAAUGUGUAUUUUCACCUUAGGGGACAAGAAAAAAUGGACUUUUUUCUCCUGCCAUGGGGGGGCGCUCUUUUGGGGAGUAAAAAUUCCUUCACAAAUGUGUUGAUGGCUGGACAUUGCAUCAUCCUAGAAAACUUGGAGGCCAGUGAGGACAAAAAUAAAAAGUUAUAAGACAUUUAAGAAUGUGGAUUUUUGGGUUAUCUUUGGCGCCCCCUAGAACAUAAACCGUGGGGUGCAGCGUCAUGAUUUUUACAACUUUGAAUGGCCAUGGGGUGUAGAUUGGCCUGAGUAAAUUUGGUGUCAGUGGAACGAAAGCUUUAGGAGGAGUUAGCCACAUUCCAAUGUGUGCGAAUCGACCAAAAAUGCGAAAUAGCCCUUUAACCGUACAUUUUACAGAUACGCGCCCAUGGACUAUUUCGUAGAUCUUAUUGAGAAACACGUGAUUGUUAAAGUUUGUUUCAAUAUGACAAAGCGUACAGGCGUGACACUCAAUAAUGUGAAUUUUCACCUUAGGGGGGAAGAAAAACUGGAGUUUUUUCUCCUGCCAUGGGGGGGCGCUCUUUUGGGGAGUAAAAAUUCCUUCACAAAUGUGUUGAUGGCUAGACAUUGCAUCAUCCUAGAAAACUUGGAGGCCAGUGAGGACAAAAAUAAAAAGUUAUACAACUUUUAAGAAUGUGGAUUUCUGGGUUAUCUUUGGCGCCCCCUAAAAUGUAAACCGUGGGAUGCAGCGUCAUGAUUUGUACAACUUUUAAUGGCCAUGGGGUGUAGAUUGGCCUGAGCAAAUUUGGUGCCGGUGGAACGAAAGCCUUCGGAGGAGUUAGCGAAAUUCCAAUGUGUGCGGAUCGGCAAAAAAUGCGAAAUAGCCCUUUAACCGUACAUUUGACAGAUACGCCCGCACUGACUUUUUUGUAGAUCUUAUUGAGAUACACGUGUGUGUCAAAUUUUGUGUCAUUUUGACAAAGCGUACAGGCGUGACACUCAAUCAUGUGAAUUUUUCACCUUAGGGGGCGCUAUGGAGCCAUUUUGCAUUUGAUUUUUUGGGCGACUUCAGAAUAUCGAAUUUUUCACCAGGCCCGGUCGUCCUGCCAAAUUUCAUGACUUUUCACCAGUGGGAAGUGGGCCAUUUUCCAGUUCAAAGGGGCAGAAAAAUAAUAAGAAGACUAGGGCCCCGUUGGGGCACUGGCGGGCCCGAGCUGUGUCGCCCCCCCCCCCCCCCCCCCAACGC